rnacentral:rRNA from 1 species
GACAGAGGGUGCAAACGUUGCUCGGAAUCACUGGGCGUAAAGCGUGCGUAGGUGGAUAGUUAAGUGCAACAUUAAAUCCCGUGGCUCAACCAUGUGGCUGUGUUGCAUACUGGCUGUCUAGAGGACAUGAGAGGCAAGUGGAAUUACUGGUGUAGCAGUGAAAUGCGUAGAUAUCAGUAGGAACACCAAUGGCGAAGGCAGCUUGCUGGCAUGUAUCUGACGCUAAGGCACGAAAGCGUGGGGAGCGAACAGG